GAUGAAGAACGUAGCGAAAUGCGAUACGUAAUGUGAAUUGCAGAAUUCAGUGAAUCAUCGAGUCUUUGAACGCACAUUGCGCCCCCUGGUAUUCCGGGGGGCAUGCCUGUCCGAGCGUCAUUGCUGCCCUCAAGCACGGCUUGUGUGUUGGGCCUCCGUCCUCCUCCCGGGGGACGGGCCCGAAAGGCAGCGGCGGCACCGCGUCCGGUCCUCGAGCGUAUGGGGCUUCGUCACCCGCUCUUAGGCCCGGCCGGCGCUUGCCGACACAUCAAUCUUUUUUCCAGGUUGACCUCGGAUCAGGUAGGGAUACCCGCUGAACUUAAGCAUAUCAAUAAGCGGAGGA
rnacentral:misc_RNA from 1 species